UUCCUUCGUACAGCACUGUUCUGUGUCCGUAUCCGCCCACCACUGACCUAGGAAAAGGGCAAGGUUUCAGCGUCCUGGUCCUCUCUCCACCCUCAUUCUCGCGUCGACCUUGAUUUCAUUUGGAGGGUGAUUCGGCCGAACUCCAUCUCAGAUGCAGCUCAAUCCUUGUGCCGGUUCCCAAGGGGUACCAUCGUUAGUGAAAUAGCGGGAGAAGCGAGGAUCACCGCACACCUUUGAGAUGCUUUCUUGGGGAUUUAUGACCUCAAGGCUUAUACUUGAGAAAAAGCUCUAAGAUGCAGUCUUGUACAGAACUUGAACAUGGGUCUAUUUGAUGACGAACUUGAUUAUGAUGAUGAUGAAAUUGGCAAAAGGUGGAACCGUCACCCUAGCGGCCCCCUGGUCCCGGCCCCACAAGAUUUCAGAGGGAGUAAAUCACGGUUAAUGCUGGGCAGGAUAGGUGACUGGGGGUCAAAGGAAUUUUUGGCACAGUAGACUAGGGUUUUAUCCCCGAGUGUAACUGGCGACCUUCGACCCCACGACUUCAUUGGCAAGCUGCAGGCAUCUAACCAGCUGAUUCAGCCCGUGGGGGCAUGAAAUUGUUGAUACCGAUGGAGGUUAGUUUUGUUAUUGCUUGGCAUGUUAAGAGCAACAUUUUAUUUAUUAUCUCUUCUAUAUAUCCUUGUUUAGUGACAGGAAACAACACCCAUAUUUCUAGAUUAUACUAUUGCUUGAUUAUUCUAUGCACGACUGUCUUAUGAUGUUCUGGUUAUUUGUUGUUUAGAUGAAAUGUUGUUGGUUUUUGUGUGUCAA